rnacentral:rRNA from 1 species
UACGGGGGGGGCAAGCGUUGUUCGGAAUUACUGGGCGUAAAGGGCUCGUAGGCGGCCAACUAAGUCAGACGUGAAAUCCCCAGGCUUAACCUGGGAACUGCGUCUGAUACUGGAUGGCUUGAAUUCGGGAGAGGGAUGCAGAAUUCCAGGUGUAGCGGUGAAAUGCGCAGAUAUCAGGAGGAACACCGAUUGCGAAGGCAGCUCGCUGGGACGUUACUGACGCUGAGACGCGAAAGCGUGGGGAGCAAACAGG